AUCUCUCUCCCAAUCAAGACUUAAGAAAAAACCCUCACCUUCGCGAAGAACACCCAAAACGCAACCCUGCUCACCAGCGCCGUCCUCUCUCUCAACCCCUCACCUUCGCAAGAACCGGCGAUGCAAAGCCUCACCAGCGCCGUCCUCUCUCUCAACCUUUAAUCAUCUCACCACCAGCGUCGUCCUCUCUCUCACUCGCAGUCGUCCUCUCUCUCACGAACCCUAACUCCAAAUCGAAGCUUAACUCCAAAUCGAAGCUUCUCUUUCUUUCUCCGGCCNNNN
rnacentral:lncRNA from 1 species